AUGGCUUCCGCCGUCGAUUGCAAGGGCAAGGAAAUCGCGCCGGCCAGCCUCCUCAAGUCCGGUGCUCCCGUGGCCUUCCGCUCGGUCCACUCCCCCGCCGUCACCGCCGCCCGCCGCCCGUACAACACCCAGGCCAAGGAGGUCAGCCGCUACGACGACGACGACGACGACUACAGCGGCCGCGACCUCGUCAUCCCCAGCUUCUUCUCGCAGGACGUGAUCGACCCGCUCGGCGCGCCGACCAGCAUGGCCCGUCUGCUGUCUCUGAUGGAGGACGUCGCAUCUCAGACCGGCGGCCUCUCCUCCACUGCUGGGGCUGGCGCGUCGCGGCUCGGACGCUGGGUGGCCAAGGAGGACGACGACGCGGUGUACCUCAAGGUGCCGAUGCCGGGGCUGACCAAGGAGCACGUGGAGGUGCGCGCGGACAAGAACAUCCUGGUGAUCAAGGGCGAGGGCGAGAAGCAGCCCUGGGACGGCGACGACGACGACUCCGCGGUGCCGAAGUACAACCGCCGCAUCGAGGUGCCCUCUGCUGACGCGUACAAGAUGGACAAGAUCAAGGCCGAGAUGAAGAACGGCGUGCUCUGGGUCACCCUGCUCAAGGUCAAGGAGGAGGAGCGCAAGGACGUCUUCCACGUCAAGGUCGAGUAG
rnacentral:rRNA from 1 species